rnacentral:rRNA from 1 species
UACGUAGGUGGCAAGCGUUUGUCCGGAAUUACUGGGCGUAAAGAGCGCGCAGGCGGCUGGUCAAGUCCGAUGUGAAAGCUCCCCGGCUUAACUGGGAAAUUGCAUCGGAAACUGAUCGGCUUGAAGGUGGGAGAGGGUAGUGGAAUUCCCGGUGUAGUGGUGAAAUGCGUAGAUAUCGGGAGGAACACCAGUGGCGAAGGCGACUACCUGGCCCACUCUUGACGCUGAGGCGCGAAAGCUAGGGGAGCAAACGGG